UACGAAGGGGGGCUAGCGUUGCUCGGAAUCACUGGGCGUAAAGGGUGCGUAGGCGGCGCGGUAAGUCGGGUGUGAAAUCUCGGGGCUCAACCCCGAAACUGCACUGGAUACUGCCUUGCUCGAGUACUGGAGAGGAGAUUGGAAUUUACGGUGUAGCAGUGAAAUGCGUAGAUAUCGUAAGGAAGACCAGUGGCGAAGGCGAAUCUCUGGACAGUUACUGACACUGAGGCACGAAGGCCAGGGGAGCAAACGGGG
rnacentral:rRNA from 1 species